CGCAUGUUUGCGGGAGAGAGCGGCCUUUCAUUUCGGGCCGCCGCCGAAGGCGCAAUUCGCCCAGAAUCGCUCAGGUAACCGAUACCGCACAUGCUUG
rnacentral:ncRNA from 2 species